rnacentral:tRNA from 1 species
AUUGUUUUGGCAGAUAAGUGCGUUAAAUUUAGAAUUUAGGUAUGUAUGGAUAAUACAAGCAAUA